UACGAAGGGGGCUAGCGUUGCUCGGAAUCACUGGGCGUAAAGGGUGCGUAGGCGGGUUUUAAGUCAGGGUGAAAUCCUGGAGCUCAACUCCAGAACUGCCUUUGAUACUGAAGAUCUUGAGUCCGGGAGAGGUGAGUGGAACUGCGAGUGUAGAGGUGAAAUUCGUAGAUAUUCGCAAGAACACCAGUGGCGAAGGCGGCUCACUGGCCGGUACUGACGCUGAGGCACGAAAGCGUGGGGAGCAAAGCAGG
rnacentral:rRNA from 1 species